rnacentral:lncRNA from 1 species
UCAGGAGGCCUGGUUCUAGCCCAAGCACAGUCUCCAGCUUAAGGAAUGACCUUAAGCAAGCACUUCUUCCCUCAGGGCAACAUUUAAAAAAAUAAGAAGAUUGGAUUGAUCAACAUUUUACUGCCUGUAUUUCACAGGACAUUCUCCUUUUAAUAUAUUUGCUUGAACCUUCUUGAAAACAGGACUCCAUGGACAAAUAAGGAGAGAGCCACCAUGUCAUGACAACACAUGUCAUGAGAAAGCCCUGAGGAGAUGUCCCUGUGGGGAGAAACUGAGACCUGCCACCAACAACUAGAAUCGCCUUGCCAGCCAUGUCUAACACCAGCAAUAUUUACACACCGAAGGCACGAGUAUGGCCAUUUGGGGGGCUGUGAUAUUGUUAUUGAGGAGUUUUCCAGAGAUAACUAGACAAGAGCUAGAAAACAAUGGAAGGAACUUUAGAAGCUCACAGCAACACUAAAUGGACUAAGAAGGGAACUUCCCACCUUGCUAAAGAAUAUUUACAAAAAAUUACUGCAGUUAACAGCAUACUUAAUGUGAGGAACAAGAUAAGAACUUCUACAGGAGAGAAGGAUGCAUGAGGCCAGACAGAAAAUUUUGCUGUUGAGAGGCACCAGCUUUCCCAGUGACUACUCUGGUGGACCCUGACAAGAGUAAGUCUGUAGUUUCAGAAACUCCACACUCUCUUCUGUUUGCCAUCUUUGUGAAUCUGUUCACGAGGAGACGGUUUUGGAGAUUUUUUUUUUCAUGACUAGAUUCUGAGUAUUCUCUCAUCUUAAGGACAGUCCUGUCCUUAAAUCCACACAUCUGGAAAGCAGAAUUAGCUCCCAAGGAUGCUUGAUGAGGAAAUAUGGAAACACAGGAGACCAUUUCACCAAGGCCAAAGCAGCUCCAGUUCCUCUUUUGUGGUCAUAGAGAGGAAGUCCGGAGUCAUAGAAAUUAUCCUGGCUUAGAAUCAGAGAGACUUGGAUUCAAAUUUUGGCUCAGAAACAAGUUAUCUAACCAUUUUGGCUUUGCAUUUAACAUUUGUAAAAUGGAAAGAACAAUAUCUACCUAAAAGGACUGUUCUGGGUGUUAUACAUAGUUAAUAACUUAUUUAUAUUUAUUACACAUGAAUGUAUUAAUACCAGGUAUUAUGUUAAAUAUUGGGGAUGAAAUUGUGGGCAAAGCAGAUAGGAGUCUUGUUUCAAAAAAGCAUAUGUUCUAGCAUGGGAAAUGUCUUCGUUCAUUUUGUGUUGCUGUAACAGAAUACCUGUGGCUGGGUAAUUUAUAAAGGAAAGAGGUUCAUUUGUCUCACGGUUCUGUGGGCUGGGAAGUUCAAGAGCAUGGGUGCUGGAUUCUGGUGAGGGCUUUCCUGCUGUGUCAUAAUAGUAGCAGUUCAAAGGGGGAGUCAAAUUUGAAGGGGCCCAACAUUCAAGGUGUCCUUGCUUUAUAAACAAGUUGCUCUUGCAGGAAUGGAUCAAGUCUAAUGAGAGCAAGAACUCAUUAUUGCGAGAACAGCACCAAGCCAUUUAUGGGAGAUCUGUCCCCAUUACCUAAACACCUCCCAUUAAGCUCCACCUCUUAAAGGUUUCACCUCCUAACAUUGUUACCUUAGCAAUUAGAUUUCAGCAUGAGUUUUGGCAGGGACAAAUCACAUUCAAACCACAGCAGGAAGACAAACAUUCAUCAAAUAAUCACAUGAGUAUAUACUAUAUCUUUACAAUAUAAUUACAUGCUAUGUAAAAUUACAGACUGUGAUAAGUUCAGGAAAGGAGAGUAAAGGUGAGGUGAUUUUUAAAGUAUACUUGCAUUUUUUUUGAUGCUGUUCCUCUCCCUCUUUUUAGAAUAAGGUAGAAUCUAAUUCCUCUCUGAUUAGAUAUGAUCCAGUCUUAGUGUCUCACUUCUGACAAAUAGAAUAUGGCAGAAGUGGUGCUAUGUGGCUUCUGAGGCUAAUUCAUACAGAAGGAUACAGCUUUCUUCCAUGCACUCACUUGCUCCUCUCUCUCUUUCUCUCCUUCAAUGCUUAACUGUGAGAUCAAGUCAACAGGUUGUGAGGAAGCCUAGGAAAUAAGGAGAGUCCUAUGUAGAGCAGAACUGAGGCUUCUUGACAACAGCCAACACCAACGUGCCAGCUACAUGAGUGAGCAGUCUUUAAGUGGAAACUCCAGUCUUAAUCAGACCUUCAGAUAAUGCAUUCCUCGCUGACCUCUGCAAUCUCAGGAGAGACCACAAGCCAGAACCACUUAGCCAUGCCAUUCCCAAAUGCAGAAGCUGUGAGAAAUAAUAAAUGAUUAUUACUGUUUUAAGACAUUGAGUUUUAAAGAGAUUUGUUACCCACCAUUAGACAACUAACACAAUAGAAAACCAGGAGAUAAAGUCUGAGGGAUCAGUAAAGACUUUCUUGAUGAAAUAACAUUUGAACUUAUAACAGGAAGAGAGGAAUUAAUUAGCUCAAGAAGAGGGAGAAGUAUUCUAAGGAGCUAUACCAACACAAACAAGGGCCCUGUGAGCAAAUGAUAAAUUUGAGAAAUUAGGAGUUAUCUAGUUUGGGAAGAACACAGUGUUGGGAGGGAGAGGUGCAAGAUGCUUGAAAAGGUGUCAGGGGUAGGGGAGGGUUAGAUCAUUAAGGGCCUUAGAAAGGACUUAUUUUCUAAACAUGAUAGAACACUCUUGAAGGGUAUUUAUCAGGUAGGGAGGUAUCAAGCCUAACAUUCUAGGUUUCUGCUGAUUUCCCAGAGAUGGAAACACUGGAUGAGAACCAAGUUUACAGUGGAAGAUUAUGGUUUUGGACAGGUUGCUUGAGAUACUUUUGAGAUACCCAGAUGGUGGUAUCAUGUAAGAGAUCAGAUAUACACAUCUGGAGUUCCAGAGAGAGAGAGAGAGAGAGAGAGAGAGAGAGAGAGAGA